ensembl:lncRNA
AGAUUAAGAGGCUCUGGGAAGUCCUGGCCUUUGCACUCACACUCCUUGACCAUCCAAAGUAUUUGUCCAUAGGGACUUCCCUGGUGGUCCUCGGCUAAGACUCCACACUCCCAAUGCAGGCGGCCCAGGUUUGAGCCCUGGUCAGGGAACAAGACCACGUGUCACAACUAAGAGUGCUCACGCUGCAACUAGAAGAUCUUGCACACUACAACGAAGACUGAAGAUCCUGUGUGCCACACAUCAGAUCUGCUGCAGACAAAUAAAGACAAAUGCUAAAAAAAUGUCCG